GCGAAGAUUACUGAAAGAUUCAAAUCGCUGCAAGAAAUUCUUCCAAAUUCCGAUCAGGCAAAUAGAGACGACCUCAUGGAUGAUAUCAUCGACUACGUCAAGUACUUACAGCUUCAGAUUAAGUCCUUGAGCCAAAGCACAUUGGAAGACGAAACAACUGACCACAACAACCC